rnacentral:rRNA from 1 species
UCUUGGGUGACGAGCGGCGGACGGGUGAGUAAUGUCUGGGAAACUGCCUGAUGGAGGGGGAUAACUACUGGAAACGGUAGCUAAUACCGCAUAACGUCUACGGACCAAAGUGGGGGACCUUCGGGCCUCAUGCCAUCAGAUGUGCCCAGAUGGGAUUAGCUAGUAGGUGGGGUAAUGGCUCACCUAGGCGACGAUCCCUAGCUGGUCUGAGAGGAUGACCAGCCACACUGGAACUGAGACACGGUCCAGACUCCUACGGGAGGCAGCAGUGGGGAAUAUUGCACAAUGGGCGCAAGCCUGAUGCAGCCAUGCCGCGUGUGUGAAGAAGGCCUUCGGGUUGUAAAGCACUUUCAGCGAGGAGGAAGGGUUCAGUGUUAAUAGCACUGUUCAUUGACGUUACUCGCAGAAGAAGCACCGGCUAACUCCGUGCCAGCAGCCGCGGUAAUACGGAGGGUGCAAGCGUUAAUCGGAAUUACUGGGCGUAAAGCGCACGCAGGCGGUUUGUUAAGUCAGAUGUGAAAUCCCCGCGCUUAACGUGGGAACUGCAUUUGAAACUGGCAAGCUAGAGUCUUGUAGAGGGGGGUAGAAUUCCAGGUGUAGCGGUGAAAUGCGUAGAGAUCUGGAGGAAUACCGGUGGCGAAGGCGGCCCCCUGGAC